UACAGAGGGUGCGAGCGUUGUUCGGAAUUAUUGGGCGUAAAGCGCGUGUAGGCGGUCUGUUAUGUCGGGUGUGAAAGCCCCUCAGCUUAACUGAGGAAGUGCGCCCGAAACUGGCAGACUUGAGUGCCGGAGAGGAUAGCGGAACACCCGGUGUAGAGGUGAAAUUCGUAGAUAUCGGGUAGAACACCAGUGGCGAAGGCGGCUAUCUGGACGGACACUGACGCUGAGACGCGAAAGCG
rnacentral:rRNA from 1 species